rnacentral:ncRNA from 1 species
AUCUUAUUAAGAGCGGUGGAGGGAAUAGGCCCUGUGAAACCCGGCAACCAGCAGAUCAAUGUAUGGUGCUAAGUCCUACAGCAUAAGCUGAGAAAUAAGAC